GUCAAGUGAGAAUACCCGCUGAACUUAAGCAUAUCAAUAAGCGGAGGAAAAGAAACUAACAAGGAUUCCCUCAGUAACGGCGAGUGAACCGGGAAAAGCUCAAAUUUAAAAUCGCUUGGGUUUACCUGAGUGAGUUGUAAUUUGAAGAAGGUGUUUCGACUUUUCGGGUUUGAUCCAAAUCCUUUGGGAUGAGGUAUCAUAGAGGGUGAGAAUCCCGUUCUUGAUUAAACCUCGGAUUGCACUAAAUUCACUUUCUAAGAGUCGAGUUGUUUGGGAUUGCAGCUCCAAAUGGGUGGUAAAUUUCACCUAAGGCUAAAUAUAUGCAAGAGACCGAUAGCGAACAAGUACCGUGAGGGAAAGAUGAAAAGUACUUUGAAAAGAGAGUUAAACAGUACGUGAAAUUGUUGAAAGGGAAACGAUUGAAGUCAGUCAUGCUAGUGAGGAAUCAACUUGGUGGUUUACUUCCUUGUGCAUUUUCUCGCUUGGCAGGUUAGCAUCAAUUUUGGUUGUCAUCAAAGAAUUGGGGGAAUGUGGCUUUUCUUCGGUAAAGUGUUAUAGACCCUGAUUGAUGUGGCGACUGGGAUUGAGGUUUGCAGCGGAUGCCUCUUGUGGCUAGUCACCUGUCUUCUGACCGUCACCUCAUUUUUGACAGCUUGCUGAUGAUUGCGGGAUUUGGCGACCUAGGAGUUAGAGUGAAUAUAAAUUCGCUAAGGAUGCUGACGUAAUGGCUUUAAACGACCCGUCUUGAAACACGGACCAAGGAGUCUAACAUAUGUGCGAGUGUU
rnacentral:rRNA from 1 species